rnacentral:rRNA from 1 species
AUGGAAGUACAGACUGACGGCCUCAACGUCCUGAACCUCGCCGGGAAUCGUCUCACCGGCCCGAGCCCGAGCUGCCUCGGUGCCAUGAAGAGGCUCUACUACGUGGACUUGUCCGGCAACCACUUCGCCAGGGAGAUAUCGCCGUCGCUGAUGGAGGUGCAGCUGCUUACGUCGGCGAUGGCCAUGUCGGAGUUCAAUCCGGGCUAUCUGCCUCUCGUGUUCACCGUGACGCCGAAUGGGGCGUCGGUCAUGCAGGGACGCGUGUACUACCAGGUGUUGGCGCAGCUCCGUCCGCACCCGCCGGCGAUCACCGUAGACACGAUCGGAGAGGAAGAAGACACACACAGAAACUUUGGUGGCGCACAAACACCUGCCGCACGAACGGCGUUUUCUGUUUUUCACCUCGAGCUCGAUCUCGCUCACCACGGAAAAAUGCACAGGUGGGAUGGGGGCUUUAUACCUGCGUGCGCAGACACGCCAUCCCGCGCUCAUACGCACCCACUCACCCACUCGCCACGUCCCGCGCGCUCCGGCUCGCGCACGCACGCGAUCGCCGCGGCCGCAACUCACGCCCGACGCGGUCACUACACCCGCACAUUGCGCCAACUAACUCGCGCACACACGCACGCACCCACGGACACGCACGCACGCUCCCGCGCCUGCCACGGGCCGGACCCGACGUGCCCAGCGCGCGCACACACACGCGCACGCGUCCGAGCCCGCCUUGGCUUAUUGCCCAACAUCGCCGCCACGCUCAACCUGAGCGACAACGACAUCUCAGGCGCGAUCCAGCGAGAGGUCUGGCAGAUGAAGACGCUGCAGGUGCUUGACCUCAGCUACAACAACCUCUCUGGGCAGUUCAAUGCGUUCCCGGCGGGGAAUCUGAAGCUUUGCGGCGAGGCGAUCCCGGAUUCUCGGUCCGCUGCGGCAAGAAAACAUGGGCGGCGACAGGCAAGGCUUCGUUGUCCAAGACCGUGGGCAAAAGAAUCCUCGUGGCCAUCGUUCUUGGUGCCUGCUUCGGUGUGGAUGCCAUCGUCGUCUUGCUCGGAGCCUCGGACUCGCCGUGAUCGCCAUCAGAAUGUUCAUGUCGAAAUCGAACGGAUCCGUCAGAGACGGCGGGAAGUGCGGCCCUGUUCGACUACUCCAUGUCGGAUCUGCACUGGAUGA